GACUCGGUAAGACCAGAGACGCAAACGUUAAUCAUCCUAAACAGGCGUAAAGGGUUUGUAGGCAGCACCCAUAAGAUUACUAUUGCAAAAUUUAUAAAGUAAUCUGAUUGGGUGCUAGAAUCAAAAAGAGGUUAUAGUGUAUAACGCCUAGAGGAGGGCUGAUAUCCAUAGAUCCUAGGCAGAAUACUAAAGGCGAAGGCCACUCUCCACUAAUGAUUGACGCUGAGAAACGAAGGUUAGGGUAGGAAAUAGGAUUAGAUACCCCGGUACUCCUUUCUGUAAACGAUGAAUGGUAGUCAUUAGUAAAAGUAAAAUUACUAGAGACGAAGUUAACACAAUAACCAUUCCGCCUUGUGAGUACUACUGCAAAGUAGAAAACAAAAAAAUUAGUCGGUCUCGAAGCAAACGGAGUGAAGCAUGUUAUUUAAUACGAUAAUCCGCGUAAAACCUUACCAGAACUUGCAUACAAACUAUAAAUUUUUGGUCCUUUACAAGGGCUAGAAAAGAGUAGGAGUAUUUUAAAAUUUAAAGUACUUAAGUACAGGUGU
rnacentral:rRNA from 1 species